GACCCCGAACCCAGGAGGGCUCUUCACCCUGGGUUCCCAUAGCCCUGUGCAUUUCACACUCACCCAAACACAAUGAGACCCUGUGGGCCUUAAGGGUGGGGCUCAUCUCUUUAGACCCUCAGUACCUAGCAUUCAAUUCAACUGAAUUGAAUUGCCCCCGUGAGGGAGGUCUUUCUAUUCGCAUUUUACAGCUGAGGAAACCAAAAUCCAGAGACGGGAAUUAUACUGCCUGAAGCCACACAGCUAGUAAGUGACUGCACUGGUAUUCAAACCCAAAUCUAUUAUUGUGGGUGAGGUGGUUAAGGACUCUGGAGUGAAAGUGCUGGGCACAUAUCCCGGCUCCCGCACUUACUGGCCAUGUGACCUUGGUCAAAUCACUUAUCUUGUAGAGCCUCGUCUGCAAAAUGGGGAUGAUUUUAGUACCUCCAUCAGAGGUAUUGUGAAGAAUGAACAAAAUAACAUAUGGUCCUUAGCUUUGUACCUGGAACAUCCUAAGCCCUAUAUAAACUUCAGGAAAAGAGAGUCCUAACACAUGAAAAAUACCAACAGGAUGCAUUUUUUUAAAGUACAGCCACUGGCUUCAAACACUUUUGCAGUGCAGAAUCCAUUAACGGCUACGCCAAGAUUAUCUUGAAGAUGAUGUUCAUUUGGCUGCUCUGGAGAAGUCAAAAAAGUAAACAACAGAAAACAGAUCAGCUGGUGGGGUGAUUGCACCCCAUUUCCAAGAGACUGGGUUAGUGAGUGCAUCUCUGUGAGGAAUAAGUAGAAACAAU
rnacentral:sRNA from 1 species